CUAUAAAAGGCUUCAAAAGCUUGUUUGCGCUUUUUUUUCCCCCCUCAGACACGAAAAGCAUCUGUGGAGCUCAAGUUUGAGGUGAAAGCAGGCUCAGAGUCCACCUGUGCUCGCUGAUCCAUGGAUUUCUGUGUGACCAGAUUACACCUAUGGAGCUGCAGCCCCGACUACCACCAGCUUGCUCAUCCCUCUACUCACACAGUCACCCCUCCGCUCACUCUCAUUUAUGC